UGUAAAAGAUUGUAUAUUUAGGGAUAAAAUUAUGAUAAUUUUUAUUCUCAUCAAUAAUUAAGAAAAACAUUGUAGAAAGGGAAGACUUCGAGUAGAAAACUUGAGAGCACUUUUUUUGUUAUUUCAUGGGAGGAGACUAGUAUACAGAGGACAUUGGUUUUGGAAACUUUGGUGAGUGAUUGAACCCUAAAAACUUUUAAACGGGUUUACUCUCCACUGAACCUAUAUGUGAAUCCGAGGACCACAUUGGAGAGACCUUCCUCCUAGAGAUUGUACCUAGCUGACUACCGCCAAUGUCCUCUGUUUUCAAAGAUGCCUUGCUCUCUACAUCUUUCUUCUGUGCCGUCCUUCAGAAAACAAUCUUCCAUUUGCCUCUCUCUUCUCCCUUAUCCAUAGGACUACUAAACCUUAAAAUCUAAUUGUUGAGUAUGAGAGAGCUAGGGUUUUUGCAAAUUUGUUAAUCAUAUCAGAACAAUUGGAAAGGAACAUAAGAAAAAUUGACUCAGUGAAAAGAUUUUACUCCAUUGAGUUUAUAAACUAUAUGUGUCAAGCAUAAAAACAUGUGCUAGAUGUAGCAUCAUGGUAUCUUUUAUCAAUAUUUGUUCUUUUUCUUUUAAUUGUAUUAAUAUCCCAAACAAAAGAACUGGUUGAUUGAGCAUGGAAAAUCUAAUUGACUCAGUAAGAACUUUUAAUCCAUUGAAUUUAUAAAUUAUGUGCCAAGCAUGUUGAAUCUAUUGAGUGGACAGAAUUCAAAUAAGUUGCGUGUUCAAAAUUAAUUUUUUCCUUGAACUUUUGAUGGCUUUGAAAAGUUCUCCACAGUUUUCUGAAGUCUGGCAAGGCUCUAAAAGAUAUUAUCCAUGUAUAUCUAUGCAACAUGUAGAAAUUCUCUUAUUUUUGUAACCAUUUAUUUUAAUCUAAUUUUCAUAUGCAAUACUUCCUAAAGUAACUUCAACCUAUGUCUCUACACCAACUAGUUAAAUUGAGCUUCUGUGUUCAAAAGUACUGGUACUUGGUACAUGUUUGGAAUAUCAAAUUCAGGGUAUAUUAUGCAUUGGUUUUCUUAAACGUACUUGGGAACAAAAAGAAAUCACAAGGGAGAAAGCGGUAAAGGAUUUGGAGGUAAGCCAUUAUAUAGUUGUGGAGAGUUCACUAUAUACUAGAAUUCUUAUUCCUUUUUGGUGGGGUCUGAUUUGGUUUCCUGUUGCUUGUAAUUUCCAUGUUUUAAAACUUUCUAAUUCUCAUAAGUAAGAAGUUUGUUUGAUUGAAGAUUGUCCAUUAUAUAAAUUUCAACCCCAUAUUGUAGGGGGACCAUAAUGAUUUGUUUCAAUUACUCCAGUGUGUUGUGAAAUAGAAUGAAAAUGAACCAGAACACCCUUAACAUCAUUACAAUACAUUUACUGAAAAGGUCAAUGUGAUGUUAAAUUUCUCUACUUAAUGUCAUUUCUUCUCAUUCAGGAUUACCUUCCCAAAUACAAGUUGGUUUUAUUUACUUUGGUAAUAGAGUAUGGAGAAACAGUUCUUUCAUAGGUGUUCAAGUGAAUACCUAUAAGGGGCAUUUUUGUCCUUUGAGUUUGGCAUUAUAUUUCCCCUGUUAAGAAUCUAUUAAUAGGUGACUAGGCAACAAGGCGCCCCCUGUCACCCAGCCUUGCCUUGGCAAUUGGCGCCUUGAAAACUAUGUGACUAGUUGAGGGUUGCACUAACUACUUUUGUACAAUUCAGCUUGUUAUCAAUUGCCAGUUUUGACCUGCUUGUAAACAAACUAAUUCCAAUUUGUACCAAAUCAUGUAGGCUAGAGCCUUUUCUUAUAGUUCAAUUGCUAGUUUAUAAUGGAUUCCUAUUUCCUAUUAUCAACAAAUGCACAUGCAAAUGCUCUAGUUGGACUACUGGAGGAAUCAGUAGAUGGUCUUUCUUUUGUGGAACACACCCUAACCUGACCUAAUGUUUUUCUUUCUGUUGAUUAUCUUAUACUGGUUGUGUAUGUGGAGAAGAGCAGUAGUGGGGCUAGCUGCUCUCUUUCCUCAAUUGAGGGGAGGGUUGAUAGCUCUUUUUUUCUGUAAUUCCUUGUACACCUUUGGUGUUUCUGAUUUAAAUAAAAUUAUGAUGUUUCUUAUCCAAGAAAAACACCUAACUAGUUGUAACUUAGUUUUAUGAACUCUUAUUUGUUAUCUCUUUUUUCAUUUUGAUGAAACUAAAUGAAUGAAAACCAGGAUAAUAAAGUUUCAGUCUUGUAAGAAGCUUCUAAGUUUUUGCAUUCUUGUAUGCACUCGUAAAUGCAUUGGUCAAUGACUUAUCUCCAAUUCCUGACUUUCUUUCUUGGGUCCAUGACGAGGUCUUUGCCUUGUUGAUAGUUGAAUCAAGUUUUAGUGUCAUAGUCCAGUAAAAUCGAGCUUGAUUCCAACAUUGAAGUGAAAUCAAAUAAUGUUGAUGUCACCUGAUGUCUUUUAAAUGAAUGUGGUAAUUCUUGAUCUUACACACCAACUAACCUACAUUUUCUAGGUUCAGUUUAGCAUAAACCAAAUCAUUUUUCUUUUUUUUUUGUUUAACACAAUUCAAAUUGAGUUAUUCACAUUCUGGAUGGAUUUCUAGCUAAUUCAGCUUUAGAUUUUCUCAUCUGCAAGAAUCAAUUGAUACCUUAUGCUUUAUUUGUUUUCAUCUUUUUAUACUUAAAUUGAAUGAAAUAUUAUUCUUGUUGGAUAAUGAGAUUUGCUUUUCCUGUCAUGGGCAUCUUACAAUAGUAAUAUACAAUCUCUUUUUUUGAGUAAUUUGUGCAUGGCUUUUUAUUAUUCUUAUUGCUUGUUCAAUUGGAAGAGUAUGAAAUUAUAAAACAAAAAAUUAUGAAUGUUCUUCAUCCCUUUGUUUAGGCUAUUGAUCUUAUGUACUUAUCAUUAUCAUAGGUUCUAUUUUAUGGUUCUAAAUUAGGUGGUGAGAAACCUUUUAGUAAGCCUUCUUCACAUGUUAGAUGAUUUUAUCAAAUCAUUUACUCACUGAUUUGAGCUCCUACCAUGUUUAUUUGGCAACAAAUACUGCUAAUAAGUUCUAGAGUAAGGUGGUGAUAGAUGACCAGACAGGAGGCAAACCUCUUACAUUACAUUCCAAUUACCAAGACUCAAAGGUUUUUUCUUAUAUUGGUUCAGAAAACUUCAGGGCAUUUAAUUCUACAUCAACUAAAGGGUCCAUUGAAUUCAUUUACAGAAAUAGUGAUUUGCAAAUGGACAAUGGGAAAUCCAAAAAGAGAGGUUUAUAUUUGCUCUACCUGUCAUGCAUUUACUUUUUUCCUUUGUUGUUUUUGGUUGAUAUUUUCUUCUUUUAGGAACAAGUGGCAUUCCCUGGCCUGGGAACUCUCGGUGUUAUAUCUGAGGCCACCACCAUGUCCGGUGAGUAACAAAAUACAAGAGGGUACUGCAGUCAAUCCAAAUACAGCUUCAACCAUUAAGGAGAUCACAACCUCCUUAAUAACUUGUUCAUUAAAAGACAAAGCAACAAAUCAUUCAUUCAGCCACUUCAACUAUUUCAAACUUCCCCUUAAGUUUGAUUUGAACUACCAUGAUUCAUUGUUUAUUGUAUUGAUUUUGCUUUGAUAGGUUUUGGAGAGUUUAGAAUUUGUGGAUCAUACACAAAAUUUGUUUGGACACAUUGAAAAUUGUAAUAGAAUUGUCCUGUCAGGAGAUGAAUUGACAUCUUGAACAGUGAAAUUUGUCAUCAAAGUGGAUCAUUUUCAUCUUUAAGUUUUGCUUGGAAGGUUUACAUGAUAUCAAAUUAUUCUUGGCCUUGCAUAUAGACCAUUAUCAAAUUGUUCUUGAAGGUUUCCGUGAUAUCAGAAUAAAUGUCUACCAUGAGUACUAUAGUCCAAUGGGUGGUGUGAAUGAUGAUCUAAAGAACAGGAAGAAGAAGACGAAGCCAUUCUUGCAGGUAAUUGAAGUGAAGAGUUUAAAUCAAGAAGACUAUUUCAUCCAACUAUCAAUUUUGAAGAAUAUAACAAAGUUUAUUUUAUUUUGGACAACAUAUGAAUUAUUAGUUUAAGUUAAUUUUAUGAAAAACAUAUUGUAAUUUUUGAGAGGAUGGGGACUUGUAUUUAUUUGAAUAUUUGUAUUUAGUGAAUCUUGUUGUUAUUAUAAUUAUUAAUAAAGAUUUUUUUUUUAA